rnacentral:tRNA from 1 species
UCCCUGGUGGCUCAGAUGAUAAAGAAUCUGCCUCCAAUGCAGGAGACUUGGGUUCGAUCCCUGGCUUGGGAA